UUAAGCGACUAAGCGUACACGGUGGAUGCCCUGGCAGUCAGAGGCGAUGAAGGACGUGCUAAUCUGCGAUAAGCGUCGGUAAGGUGAUAUGAACCGUUAUAACCGGCGAUUUCCGAAUGGGGAAACCCAGUGUGUUUCGACACACUAUCAUUAACUGAAUCCAUAGGUUAAUGAGGCGAACCGGGGGAACUGAAACAUCUAAGUACCCCGAGGAAAAGAAAUCAACCGAGAUUCCCCCAGUAGCGGCGAGCGAACGGGGAGCAGCCCAGAGCCUGAAUCAGUGUGUGUGUUAGUGGAAGCGUCUGGAAAGGCGCGCGAUACAGGGUGACAGCCCCGUACACAAAAAUGCACAUGCUGUGAGCUCGAUGAGUAGGGCGGGACACGUGGUAUCCUGUCUGAAUAUGGGGGGACCAUCCUCCAAGGCUAAAUACUCCUGACUGACCGAUAGUGAACCAGUACCGUGAGGGAAAGGCGAAAAGAACCCCGGCGAGGGGAGUGAAAAAGAACCUGAAACCGUGUACGUACAAGCAGUGGGAGCACGCUUAGGCGUGUGACUGCGUACCUUUUGUAUAAUGGGUCAGCGACUUAUAUUCUGUAGCAAGGUUAACCGAAUAGGGGAGCCGAAGGGAAACCGAGUCUUAACUGGGCGUUAAGUUGCAGGGUAUAGACCCGAAACCCGGUGAUCUAGCCAUGGGCAGGUUGAAGGUUGGGUAACACUAACUGGAGGACCGAACCGACUAAUGUUGAAAAAUUAGCGGAUGACUUGUGGCUGGGGGUGAAAGGCCAAUCAAACCGGGAGAUAGCUGGUUCUCCCCGAAAGCUAUUUAGGUAGCGCCUCGUGAAUUCAUCUCCGGGGGUAGAGCACUGUUUCGGCAAGGGGGUCAUCCCGACUUACCAACCCGAUGCAAACUGCGAAUACCGGAGAAUGUUAUCACGGGAGACACACGGCGGGUGCUAACGUCCGUCGUGAAGAGGGAAACAACCCAGACCGCCAGCUAAGGUCCCAAAGUCAUGGUUAAGUGGGAAACGAUGUGGGAAGGCCCAGACAGCCAGGAUGUUGGCUUAGAAGCAGCCAUCAUUUAAAGAAAGCGUAAUAGCUCACUGGUCGAGUCGGCCUGCGCGGAAGAUGUAACGGGGCUAAACCAUGCACCGAAGCUGCGGCAGCGACGCUUAUGCGUUGUUGGGUAGGGGAGCGUUCUGUAAGCCUGCGAAGGUGUGCUGUGAGGCAUGCUGGAGGUAUCAGAAGUGCGAAUGCUGACAUAAGUAACGAUAAAGCGGGUGAAAAGCCCGCUCGCCGGAAGACCAAGGGUUCCUGUCCAACGUUAAUCGGGGCAGGGUGAGUCGACCCCUAAGGCGAGGCCGAAAGGCGUAGUCGAUGGGAAACAGGUUAAUAUUCCUGUACUUGGUGUUACUGCGAAGGGGGGACGGAGAAGGCUAUGUUGGCCGGGCGACGGUUGUCCCGGUUUAAGCGUGUAGGCUGGUUUUCCAGGCAAAUCCGGAAAAUCAAGGCUGAGGCGUGAUGACGAGGCACUACGGUGCUGAAGCAACAAAUGCCCUGCUUCCAGGAAAAGCCUCUAAGCAUCAGGUAACAUCAAAUCGUACCCCAAACCGACACAGGUGGUCAGGUAGAGAAUACCAAGGCGCUUGAGAGAACUCGGGUGAAGGAACUAGGCAAAAUGGUGCCGUAACUUCGGGAGAAGGCACGCUGAUAUGUAGGUGAAGCGACUUGCUCGUGGAGCUGAAAUCAGUCGAAGAUACCAGCUGGCUGCAACUGUUUAUUAAAAACACAGCACUGUGCAAACACGAAAGUGGACGUAUACGGUGUGACGCCUGCCCG
rnacentral:rRNA from 1 species